rnacentral:rRNA from 1 species
AUGGGGUGCAUCUCCUCCAAGGUGCUGAGCAGGUCGGGGAGCCUGCGGGGGAAGGCCGGCCAGGGGCUCCAGAGGAGCAGCCUGGUCGAGGAGAUCAUCCUCUCCAACUCCAAGAGGAACGGCGACCAGUUCCUCGCCCUCCUCCGCACCUCCAGCUCCGCCGCCAGGACGAGCAAGGUCGACGCCGCCGAGCAGAUCGAGACGAUCAACGUGUCUGACCUUCUCGCCGGGCUGGAGGAGGAGAACGCACCGGAAGGCGCCGAGGAGCGGGGCGAUGAUCGGAAACCAGACGGCGGCAAAGCUUCGUCGCCUCGGUGCGCAUACGAUGGCGCCGCCGGAAGGGCGGUCAGCUUCCGCACCCUGGAGGAGUUCGACGCGCUGGUGUCGCGGUGCGGCUCGCCGGUGAAAGCGGAGCCUGCACCAGCACCAGCACCUGAGCCAGACGCGUCCGUGGAGCCGCCGCCGCAGAGCAGCUCCACGGAGCAAGACGCGAUAGCCACAGCGAGCAGCGGUCCGGAACUAGGGGAGGCGCCCGGCGGCGCGAAGAGGCGGGCGAGGGCGAGGCAGCUCGGAGAGCUGAGCGCGACGCCGGGCUUCGACUUCAGGAAGUCCGGCAGCCUGAGGGACUGGCUGCUCGGCGGCGGGCAGAUGUUCUCGCCGGGCUCCUACGUCACGCCCAAGUUCGGCAGCGUGGCGACGGCACCGCCCGAGUCCGCAGAGCACGCGGAGCGCGCGGUGUUUGAUCCGGAGCUGGUGGCGCAGCUGGAGGAGGCCAUGGAGGAGCUCUCGGUGGACGAGGAGCGCGUGCUGAGGGAGGUCUUGGAGGUAAUCGAAGCCGGAGAAACACAGAGGUUGGAGAGGCGACAUGCCCAGGAGCCGGAAGUGUUGGCGGUGAUUGUGCAUGAUUAG